rnacentral:rRNA from 1 species
CUCCUACGGGAGGCAGCAGUGGGGAAUAUUGCACAAUGGGCGAAAGCCUGAUGCAGCAACGCCGCGUGAGUGAUGAAGGCCUUCGGGUUGUAAAGCUCUGUCUUUGGGGACGAUAAUGACGGUACCCAAGGAGGAAGCCACGGCUAACUACGUGCCAGCAGCCGCGGUAAUGCGUAGGUGGCAAGCGUUGUCCGGAUUUACUGGGCGUAAAGGAUGCGUAGGCGGAUAUUUAAGUGAGAUGUGAAAUUCCCGGGCUUAACUUGGGAGCUGCAUUUCAAACUGGAUAUCUAGAGUGCGGGAGAGGAGAAUGGAAUUCCUAGUGUAGCGGUGAAAUGCGUAGAGAUUAGGAAGAACACCAGUGGCGAAGGCGAUUCUCUGGACCGUAACUGACGCUGAGGCAUGAAAGCGUGGGUAGCAAACAGGAUUAGAUACCCUGGUAGUCCACGCCGUAAACGAUGAGUACUAGGUGUAGGAGGGUCCAACCUUCUGUGCCGCAGUUAACACAAUAAGUACUCCGCCUGGGAAGUACGAUCGCAAGAUUAAAACUCAAAGGAAUUGACGGGGGCCCGCACAAGCAGCGGAGCAUGUGGUUUAAUUCGAAGCAACGCGAAGAACCUUACCUGGGCUUGACAUCCCCUGAAUAGUGCAGAGAUGCUUGAAGCCCUUCGGGGCAGGGAGACAGGUGGUGCAUGGUUGUCGUCAGCUCGUGUCGUGAGAUGUUAGGUUAAGUCCUGCAACGAGCGCAACCCCUAUCAUUAGUUGCUACCAUUAAGUUGAGCACUCUAGUGAGACUGCCCGGGUUAACCGGGAGGAAGGUGGGGAUGACGUCAAAUCAUCAUGCCCCUUAUGUCCAGGGCUACACACGUGCUACAAUGGUAGGUACAGAGAGAUGCAAGAUCGCGAGGUGGAGCAAAACUCAAAAACCUAUCCCAGUUCGGAUUGUAGGCUGCAACUCGCCUACAUGAAGCCGGAGUUGCUAGUAAUCGCGAAUCAGAAUGUCGCGGUGAAUACGUUCCCGGGCCUUGCACACACCGCCCGU